AAAAAAAUGAAACCCUAAAUCACAUUCCUUCUACGAUCAUUUCUAGGUAUCAAAUCCCAUUGAGAUCAUUCAUAUUCCUCCAAAUCUCGAACGGCUUGUUCAAGUUUCAGCAAAACUGAUCAAGGUUGCAAUUUGUAGGCAUUUCUGUUUAUUUUGGUCAUCAAACUUGGAAAUGAGUAAGAAGAGGAGAAAGAAAAAGAAACAAAAUGGUGUUGAUAGCAAUUGACAUGAGCAGACUAGGAAAAUUUAACAGGAGGUUGGCAAUGUUAAUGGGAAUGACACGCAGAACUCAAUCACUGGGAGCUCACAUAUAUGGAGGAGGAUAAAGAUGAUGUUAUCCAAGGAUACGAAACAGUACUGUCUACACUCAACCUAUGCUCAGAAAUCGGACACUCCCAAAAGAUUUGUUCACACUAGAUGAAAGUUAUAAAAAAAUCUACCCUGUUUAUUGCCUGGAUAUUUAAGAACAAGAAAGCUAAAUGGAAAGACGCCACUAACUAUAUAUCCCACGAUACAAAUUAGAAUGUUCUGCAAGAUAAACUCAAUGAAGGAUCUUGUGAAACUAUGGACUAUCGAAGAACAUCAGGUACUUUGCGGAAGCAAUAAUCAAAAUUAGAUGCCACCAGGAAGCCAAGGACACAAUGGGUAGGAAAGACUUCCCUCGAUGCGAAGUUGAAAUGUUGCGUAACAGCCGAAGUAUAUCCAAGUUGGUCUUUAUCAAUGCAAUGAACUUCGUACCUGGGGCCAUAAGCAUUAAAAAAAAUUGUGUUGUCAUUCUUAUAUCUGGUUGUGGGAUAUACACAGUGAUCUUCAUCUUCCUUUUUAUUAGGAAGAUUUCAGUACAACUGCUAGUAUCCUCAAAAUGGUAGUUUAUCAUAGGGUGUCACAUGCCGUGGAGUUGUUUACAAAAGCAGUAUGCUAAGGAUACAUUUAAUUAGAGCUGACUGAUUCGACUGUAGCCAGGUCAUUAUCGAAGAUUAUUGCCUUCCUAGUCUCCCAAGUAGUCCAACAGUUUGCAGCUGGGAUUAAUGGCCAUAAUGCCUUAGCAAUGUGAUGAACCAGUUUAAACUUCCAGCUGUUGAGGAUGGAGUCACCUGUUUACUUACACCAGGAGCAAGACGAACUCAAAUGGUGCCUUGGUAAAUCAGGAAAUUUCUCGGUCAAAGCAUGCUAACCUAGCAAUGGAUCAUGAUCUUCCAAUUCUCAGUCUUAGUGUUUGGUCUACACUUUGGCCUCAUAGUGUUUUUUUUCUUCUUCAGUGGCUUCUUUCUAACUAUCAGCUAUCAUAUGACGUCUGAGAUAUAUAAACAUUAGGAA